rnacentral:rRNA from 1 species
UGGGGAAUAUUGCACAAUGGGCGCAAGCCUGAUGCAGCCAUGCCGCGUGUGUGAAGAAGGCCUUCGGGUUGUAAAGCACUUUCAGCGAGGAGGAAGGUGGUGAACUUAAUACGUUCAUCAAUUGACGUUACUCGCAGAAGAAGCACCGGCUAACUCCGUGCCAGCAGCCGCGGUAAUACGGAGGGUGCAAGCGUUAAUCGGAAUUACUGGGCGUAAAGCGCACGCAGGCGGUUUGUUAAGUCAGAUGUGAAAUCCCCGGGCUCAACCUGGGAACUGCAUUUGAAACUGGCAAGCUAGAGUCUCGUAGAGGGGGGUAGAAUUCCAGGUGUAGCGGUGAAAUGCGUAGAGAUCUGGAGGAAUACCGGUGGCGAAGGCGGCCCCCUGGACGAAGACUGACGCUCAGGUGCGAAAAGCGUGGGGAGCAAAACAGGAUUAGAUACCCUGGUAGUCCACGCUGUAAAACGAUGUCGAUUUUGGAGGUUGUGCCCUUGAGGCGUGGCUUCCGGAGCUAACGCGUUAAAUCGACCGCCUGGGGAGUACGGCC